rnacentral:rRNA from 1 species
UACAGAGACCUCAAGCGUUGUCCGGAUUUAUUGGGCGUAAAGAGCUCGUAGGCGGUUCGGCAAGUCGGAUGUGAAAUCUCCACGCUCAACGUGGAGGGGCCAUUCGAAACUGCCGUGACUCGAGUCCGGUAGGGGAGUGUGGAAUUCCCGGUGUAGCGGUGAAAUGCGCAGAUAUCGGGAGGAACACCAGUAGCGAAGGCGGCACUCUGGGCCGGUACUGACGCUGAGGAGCGAAAGCGUGGGGAGCGAACAGG